GAUGAACGCUGGCGGCGCGCCUAACACAUGCAAGUCGAACGGCACCCACCCUCGGGUGGAAGCGAGUGGCGAACGGCUGAGUAACACGUGGAGAACCCGCCCCCUCCUCCGGGAUAGCCUCGGGAAACCGUGGGUAAUACCGGAUGACCCCGCAGGGCCGCAUGGCCCCGCGGGCAAAGCCCAGACGGGAGGGGAUGGCUCCGCGGCCCAUCAGGUAGACGGCGGGGUGACGGCCCACCGUGCCGACGACGGGUAGCCGGGUUGAGAGACCGACCGGCCAGAUUGGGACUGAGACACGGCCCAGACUCCUACGGGAGGCAGCAGUGGGGAAUCUUGCGCAAUGGGGGGAACCCUGACGCAGCGACGCCGCGUGCGGGACGAAGGCCCUCGGGUCGUAAACCGCUUUCAGCAGGGAUGAGACAAGACGGUAC
rnacentral:rRNA from 1 species